ensembl:antisense Gm13619 predicted gene 13619
UCUGAUUCCUGCACAGAAGAGCAGGGUGAAGCGCUGCCAGCUUCUUCCAACGUCCCCUUUAAAAUUCCACUCAUAGCUGUCACAUGGACCUGCAGAAGGAACGGGAGCCGAGCAUUGAAAUCUGUGCCCGCUGACUGCAGUCAAGGACUUGGAGUCAUCUUAGGAUCUAGUGCUUUGAACCACACAGACUGCGCUACCUAUAACGCUGGAAACCAUUGCAAACAAUUAUACCCUGAUUCGCUGUUACUUCUCAUUCUCAUUCUGGUAACGUUAUCGGUAGCCCCUGUGGAAGGGUCGUUUGAACCCCCAAGGGGGUCCCCCAGUUGAGAACUACUAGCCUAAAGGCUUAAGGAUGAGAGUGUUCUAAGGAUGCUUCGUGUGGAACUACAAGAAGUCCGUGGCCUGAGGGCACACAGCCUCUAGGAGCAUAACCCAAUGCCAGCCUGAGGAGCUGAAGUCUACCCUCAACACGAGGAGCCUGGAAUGAGAUGUGCCACCACGGCAGGCUGUCAGGAGCCCCACUGCACUGAUGCUUUGAUUCCAGCCUGCGGGAUGCUGGGCAAUGAACACAGCCUUGCUUUCUGACUCUCGGAGGUGCUUACAAUGUUAUGCUUGUGAUAGUUUCUCUCAGAACCGAGAACUAGCAGCCUGACGGAUUCAUUUAGCUAUUGUUAUUAUUAAUAUCAAGGCCAAGGUCACAGAAGCAGAUUAUAGAGCCAGACUCUAAACUCAGACGUCUGUCUGCACGUUUGAAACCGUGCAUCGUGAUUUUUUUUCUUACUCUCUCAGUGGUACCUUACUGCUUAAAGUUGGUUUCCCUUUCUCCCUCCCAGCCUCUCUACUCCCUUCUGCUUACAUUUCCUUUUUCCUUCCCUUUCUUUUCCAAGACAGGGUCCUGAUACACAUUCUCAUUCAUUCUCCCUGUGUCUCUGUCUCUGUCUCUCUGUCUGUCUGUCUACAUCUCUGUCUCUCUGCCUCUCUCUCUUUCUAUUUCUUUCUGCUCUAUCCCUCUGUCUCUUUUUCUCUGUUUCUCUGUCUCUCUGUCUCUGUCUCUGUCUCUGUCUCUCUCUCUCUCUCUCUCUCUCUCUCUCUCUCUCUCUCUCUCUCCUCUUCCUCCCCCUUCUCUCCUGUCCUGCCCCCUCUGCUUUACUUUCUUCAUUGUUUUUCUGUGAUCCUUUCUACCUGGUUUUGGGGGGGGGGGUUCUAUCAAAAGGCUUCUGCUCCCCCACCGUCCCAUUAUUUGCUCACCUUUACCUUGAGGUGUAUUAAGAUUCAGUAAAUGACACACCGGUUUUCAGAAAUCACCUAUCCUUGGUUUCUUUGUCACUAACCCAGCUCUGUGACUUGUAAAUUUUGCCUAAGGAUUGUUCUUCAGAGCACAACACAAUUGACAAAACAAACAACAACAACCAAAACAAUGGUAGAGUAAAAGGGUUUCUGAUUGCUUGUUUUUCUGUUUGUUUGUUUGUUUGUUCAGCACUGGGAGUCAAACCCAGGGCCUCCUCCAAACUAAGUAAGCACUCUUUCACUAAGCUAUACCCACAGUCCCAUAAUUUUAGCUUUAAUCACAUGUUACCGGACAUCUUUAGCAUAACCAAGUGGGACUCAUUGACCCCAAUAUAUGUAAAAGAGCUAGCUUAAAUAUACACUGCUAUGUUUUAUACAUCAAUAUUAAUAUUUACAUAUUAAUACAAUGACUUAAUUACAUUAAUUUGCAAUUAAUUUACUGGUUGAACAUAAGAUGUUCUCAAUGAAUGUAUACAUAAAAUAGAAGUCACUCCUCAGUAUUGUGAGGGAUUGGUUCUAAGAAACCCUGUCUUAAAAUUUACAAAUGUUCAUGUCUGUGGAAAUACUCAGGAUUCCAGACAGCACACUAGUUCAUGAUGGAUGGCUUCUGCAUUCUGUGUUAUGUCAAAUGCCAUAAAAACAUGAUGAUCAUAGUUGUUAUACUAUCUUGCUUAAGAAGCACAUGCCAUUUCCCCCUAAUAUUUUCAACCUAUAUGUGGUUGAAUCUGUGACCAGCUAAUAUGGAGGGCCGACUGCUGCAUUAUAAUGAAGCAAAGCAGAGAGGCAUGAAAUGGGGAAUGUAUGCAGAUGAAAUCCCUCAUUAACAUGGGAAAACUGAAGUACAGCUUAGACAAUAAAAAAAAAAUCUCCAAUGUG